UCGAUAGUCUAACUGGUAAGGACACUCACAUGGAAUGUAAGAGAUCCGGGUUCGACUCCCGGCCGA
rnacentral:tRNA from 1 species